UCAAUUUAGAUGUAAUUGUAAUAGUAAACAUUGUGCUGUUGACGCUCUCCAUAGUAAUGAUUGUUCUCUUUUCAGUAAGGGUAUGCUGCAAGAAGACUAUCGACCCUAAAUAGUUUGAAGCUGAUAGCAGUAACAUAAAACUUUAUUUAUGUAUACACAUCAUUUUAGAUGAUUACUAUCCUCGUUGAAAAAUCUUUUCUAUCGUUUUUUUUACAACGAUCGUUAAUUAUCAUAUUAUUCUAUGUUUUCUUUAUAAAAUAAAUUUUACAUCGUA